rnacentral:rRNA from 1 species
GACAGAGGAUGCAAGCGUUAUCCGGAAUUACUGGGCGUAAAGGGCGCGUAGGCGGCGUUCCAAGUUAGGCGUGAAAGUCCUGGGCUCAACCUGGGAACUGCGCUUAAGACUGGAAUGCUAGAGGAUGGAAGAGGGUUGUGGAAUUCCCAGUGUAGAGGUGAAAUUCGUAGAUAUUGGGAAGAACACCGGUGGCGAAGGCGGCUCUCUGGACCGAUACUGACGCUGAGGCGCGAAAGCGUGGGGAGCAAACAGG